AUGAUUCAAGAGAAAAUUAAUAAAGAACAAGACUGUCAUAAGAGUUAUGUGGAUAAUAGAUAUAGAUCGUUAGAGUUUGAAGAAGGUGACCAUGUAUUUUUGAAAGUUACUCCAAGGUUAAGAUUAAAAAGACCUUUUAAGCCAAGAAAGUUCAGCCCAAGGUACGUUAGAACUUACCAGAUAAUUAGAAGGAACAGUGAAGUAGCUUACCGUUUGGCCUUGACAACGUCACUCUCUAGUUUGCAUGAUGUGUUCCAUGUGUCUCAGCUUCCAAGAUUCAUUCCUGAUUCUCUUCAGCCUAUUCUUCCUAAUACUAUUAAAGUAGAAGCAUAA